UACGGAGGGGGCAAGCGUUGUCCGGAUUUACUGGGCGUAAAGCGCGCGCAGGCGGUCGUUCAAGUCGAGUGUGAAAGCCCCCGGCUCAACUGGGGAGGGUCACUCGAUACUGAUCGACUUGAAGGCAGAAGAGGGAAGCGGAAUUCCCGGUGUAGUGGUGAAAUGCGUAGAUAUCGGGAGGAACACCAGUGGCGAAGGCGGCUUUCUGGUCUGUUCUUGACGCUGAGGCGCGAAAGCUAGGGUAGCAAACGGG
rnacentral:rRNA from 1 species